rfam:Trichobilharzia regenti genome assembly, scaffold: TRE_scaffold0013698
AUCCAGACGGUGAGUCCCAAAUAGGACGAAACGUGAGUUGUCCUGGAU